rnacentral:lncRNA from 1 species
ACUUUGUACUUUCUAGCUUGUCCUGUUUUGUUUCUUUUUCUCUCCUUUCUUGCUUUGUAUUUAGAUGACUAUUUUUAAAUUACUCCAUUUUCCCCUUUACUAAUUGGAAAUUAGACACUCUGGUUUUAUUCUUUUCAUGUAGGAGUUAACAAACUAUGGUCUGUGAGUUAAACCUAGCCUGCUGCCUGUUUUGGCAAACAAAGUCGUAUCUUCAUACAUCAUGCCCAUUUUAUAUAUUGUCUAUGGCUGCUUUCAUGCUACAACAGAGUCAAGUAGAUACACAGGGCUGUCGGCCUGCAAAGACCAAACUAUUCACUAUUUAUUGCUUUAUAGAAAAAGUUUGCCAAUGCUACUAUUAAUGGGUUUCUUUUUCUUUUCCUUCCUUCUUUCGUCCUUCCUUCUUUCUUUCUCUUAUUGAACUUUACCAGAGACACUUUACUACUGAGUUACAUCCCUAGCCACUUUUUAAUUUUUAUUUUUGAGAUGAAAUUGCCAAGGUUGACUUCCAAUUUGCGAUCUUCCUGUCUCAGCCUUCCAAGUAGAUGGGAUUGCAGCCAAGUACCACUGUGCCCAGCUAUUUCUUUUUCUCCUGUCCGCCCCACCAAGGUGCUGGGGAUCAAACUCAGGGCCUCCCACAUAUUAGGCAGGUACUCUGCCUACACAAAUCCAAGUGGAAAUCUCCCCCCUCCCCCAGGACCAGGGAUUGAACCCAGGGGUGCUUUACCACUGAGCUACAUCUCCAAACCUUUUUAUUUUGCUUUAUUUUGAAACAGGGUCUUGAUAAAUUGCCCGGGCUAACCUUAAUCUUGUAAUCCUCCUGCCUCAGCCUCCAGAGUAGCUGAGAUUACAGGUAUAUGCCAUUGUGACCCACUCUGGUAGCUAUUCUUUAAAAAUGCAAUAUGCACACUUAAUUUAUCAAAGUUUUAAUCAAGACC